rnacentral:rRNA from 1 species
AGUGAACGCUGGCGGUAGGCCUAACACAUGCAAGUCGAACGGCAGCACAGGAGAGCUUGCUCUCUGGGUGGCGAGUGGCGGACGGGUGAGGAAUACAUCGGAAUCUGCCCAGUCGUGGGGGAUAACGUAGGGAAACUUACGCUAAUACCGCAUACGGCCUUCGGGUGAAAGAGGGGGAUCGCAAGACCUCUCGCGAUUGGAUGAGCCGAUGUCGGAUUAGCUAGUUGGCGGGGUAAUGGCCCACCAAGGCGACGAUCCGUAGCUGGUCUGAGAGGAUGAUCAGCCACACUGGAACUGAGACACGGUCCAGACUCCUACGGGAGGCAGCAGUGGGGAAUAUUGGACAAUGGGCGCAAGCCUGAUCCAGCCAUACCGCGUGGGUGAAGAAGGCCUUCGGGUUGUAAAGCCCUUUUGUUGGGAAAGAAAUCUUUCAGGCUAAUACCCUGGGAGGAUGACGGUACCCAAAGAAUAAGCACCGGCUAACUUCGUG